CACGUAGGGUGCGAGCGUUGUCCGGAAUUAUUGGGCGUAAAGAGCUCGUAGGCGGUGUGUCGCGUCGGCCGUGAAAACCUGCAGCUUAACUGUGGGCUUGCGGUCGAUACGGGCAUCACUGGAGUUCGGCAGGGGAGACUGGAAUUCAUGGUGUAGCGGUGAAAUGCGCAGAUAUCAGGAGGAACACCGGUGGCGAAGGCGGGUCUCUGGGCCGAUACUGACGCUGAGGAGCGAAAGCGUGGGGAGCGAACAGG
rnacentral:rRNA from 1 species